UACGUAGGGGGCGAGCGUUGUCCGGAUUUAUUGGGCGUAAAGAGCGUGUAGGCGGCCAGGUAGGUCUGCUGUGAAAACUCGACGGCUCAACCUCGAGACGUCGGCGGAAACCAUCUGGCUAGAGUCCGGAAGAGGAGAGUGGAAUUCCUGGUGUAGCGGUGAAAUGCGCAGAUAUCAGGAAGAACACCCGUGGCGAAGGCGGCUCUCUGGGACGGUACUGACGCUGAGACGCGAAAGCGUGGGGAGCGAACAGG
rnacentral:rRNA from 1 species